ensembl:lncRNA
AGUCACUUUUGCACAUCAAACAUCAAUUUCUCAUUGUUUUGCACAUUUUGAAAAUACUUUUGCGCUACAAAAAAUCUACGUAUGUAUUCAGUGUCUACAUCAUGACAUGCAAAUGGUUUAAACCAGUUAUCAUUAUGUGUCAACUAUAUGCUUUAUCAGUUUCGGUGGCAUUGUGUUUUUGGUAUGGUACAGAUUAUUUAUUUAUUAUUGUGUUUCUUUUCUCCCUCAGGUUGACCUAGAAAGAGGCUGACCUGGUAACCAUAGCAACAACCAUAGCAAUGUAUUUAUACUUGAGAAAAGUAUUGACGACCUGUGCUGCAUUAACUGCCCCAGACAAUAUUGUUGCCCUCCUCCAACCUCAGCAGCUGGAGUGCAGAGGGCUGCUCAACCUGGGGCAGACCUGCUACCUAAACGCCACACUGCAGUGUCUGCUCCACCUGCAGCCUCUCUGCACUCAGCUGCUGGUGCAGGAGGAGGUGUGGAGGAUGGCGCCAGAGGCACUGCUGCUCAGGACUGGUACUCCUCAGAGGGUCCUGUGAAAUGGACAUGAAGGCAGCUGUACUACUGGAGUUCAAGGACCAAAUCUCCCUGCACAACCAGGAGUUUGAGGGGAACUCACAGAACGACGCCAAUGAGUUCCUCACAGAAUGUCUACUGCUGCUAAGGGUCAUCGGCCAGGCUCUGUUCUCCUUCCAGCUCCAGUAUAUAAGAACUUGCCAGAGCUGUGGAGUUGAGAGCAUGAGGGAUGAGGUUAACACCAUGCUCUCCCUCGACCUGGUUGUACAGGGAUCGAUAAGAGACAGCCUCCAGCUCUUUUUCACUGAAUCAAAUGUGUAGUUCCGAGUCAAGGCCGGAUUAACCAUUAGGACAACUGGACAACCCAGGGGCACAUGACAACAAAGGGGCCCUGGACAACGUCAACUAAAAUGUUAUAUCACGUUAUGAACGCAGUCCUUACUUUCCUUAAUGGUGUUGAUCCUCCACCUCAAGAGGUUCUGUCCCCUGACCCUCGCCAAACAACACCAGGCGCUUACACUGGACUCCAUUCUGGACCUGAGGACACUAGGGGAAAGGCCACUAUAUAGCCGACUGUGGGGAACAGCCAGACCAGUGGGUCACAUACAGUGACCACUCUGUCACAGUGAGAUCUGAGGAGGCCGUCCUCAAUAACAGGGAGAGGAUAGCCUACAUUCUUCUUUAUAUCAAAAAGGUAAUUUACACCAUCAGCCACA